UACGUAGGGUGCAAGCGUUAAUCGGAAUUACUGGGCGUAAAGCGUGCGCAGGCGGUUUAUGCAAGACAGAUGUGAAAUCCCCCGGGCUUAACCUGGGAACCGCAUUUGUGACUGCAUAGCUGGAGUACGGCAGAGGGGGGAUGGAAUUCCCCAGUGUAGAGGUGAAAAUUCGUAGAUAUUGGGGAAGAAACACCCGAUGGCGAAAGGCAGCCAUCUGGACCGACACUGACGCUGAGGCGCGAAAGCGUGGGGAGCAAACAGG
rnacentral:rRNA from 1 species